rnacentral:rRNA from 1 species
GAUGAACGCUAGCGAUAGGCUUAACACAUGCCAGUCGAGGGGCAACAUGGUCUUAGCUUGCUAAUACUGAUGGCGACCGGCGCACGGGUGCGUAACGCGUAUGCAACUUGCCUCACAGAGGGGGAUAACCCGUCGAAAGACUGACUAAUACCGCGUACACUUGGGAUAGGGCAUCCUGACCCAAGGCAAUGAAAUUCGCUCUUAGAUAGGCAUGCGUCCCAUUAGCUAGUAGGUGAGGUAACGGCUCUCCAAGGCGACGAUGGGUAGGGGAACCGAUAGUUUGCCACACUAGACCGGUACCGAGACCCGGACCAGAAUGGUACGGGAGGCUGCGGUGACGAAUAUUAGUCACUGGGGGUGGGCCUGAAACAGCCAAGUCGCGUGAAGGAUGACUGUCUUAUGGAUUCUAUGCUUCUUUUAUACGGGAAAAGCAAGAGUAACGUGUGGCUCCCUGACGGUACCGUAUGAAUAAGCCACGGCUAACUACGUG